rnacentral:rRNA from 1 species
GGGACACGUGGUAUCCUGUCUGAAUAUGGGGGGACCAUCCUCCAAGGCUAAAUACUCCUGACUGACCGAUAGUGAACCAGUACCGUGAGGGAAAGGCGAAAAGAACCCCGGCGAGGGGAGUGAAAAAGAACCUGAAACCGUGUACGUACAAGCAGUGGGAGCCUCUUAAUGGGGUGACUGCGUACCUUUUGUAUAAUGGGUCAGCGACUUAUAUUCUGUAGCAAGGUUAACCGAAUAGGGGAGCCGAAGGGAAACCGAGUCUUAACUGGGCGCUAAGUUGCAGGGUAUAGACCCGAAACCCGGUGAUCUAGCCAUGGGCAGGUUGAAGGUUGGGUAACACUAACUGGAGGACCGAACCGACUAAUGUUGAAAAAUUAGCGGAUGACUUGUGGCUGGGGGUGAAAGGCCAAUCAAACCGGGAGAUAGCUGGUUCUCCCCGAAAGCUAUUUAGGUAGCGCCUCGUGAAUUCAUCUCCGGGGGUAGAGCACUGUUUCGGCAAGGGGGUCAUCCCGACUUACCAACCCGAUGCAAACUGCGAAUACCGGAGAAUGUUAUCACGGGAGACACACGGCGGGUGCUAACGUCCGUCGUGAAGAGGGAAACAACCCAGACCGCCAGCUAAGGUCCCAAAGUCAUGGUUAAGUGGGAAACGAUGUGGGAAGGCCCAGACAGCCAGGAUGUUGGCUUAGAAGCAGCCAUCAUUUAAAGAAAGCGUAAUAGCUCACUGGUCGAGUCGGCCUGCGCGGAAGAUGUAACGGGGCUAAACCAUGCACCGAAGCUGCGGCAGCGACACUAUGUGUUGUUGGGUAGGGGAGCGUUCUGUAAGCCUGUGAAGGUGGCCUGUGAGGGUUGCUGGAGGUAUCAGAAGUGCGAAUGCUGACAUAAGUAACGAUAAAGCGGGUGAAAAGCCCGCUCGCCGGAAGACCAAGGGUUCCUGUCCAACGUUAAUCGGGGCAGGGUGAGUCGACCCCUAAGGCGAGGCCGAAAGGCGUAGUCGAUGGGAAACAGGUUAAUAUUCCUGUACUUGGUGUUACUGCGAAGGGGGGACGGAGAAGGCUAUGUUGGCCGGGCGACGGUUGUCCCGGUUUAAGCGUGUAGGCUGGUUUUCCAGGCAAAUCCGGAAAACCAAGGCUGAGGCGUGAUGACGAGGCACUACGGUGCUGAAGCGACAAAUGCCCUGCUUCCAGGAAAAGCCUCUAAGCAUCAGGUAACAUCAAAUCGUACCCCAAACCGACACAGGUGGUCAGGUAGAGAAUACCAAGGCGCUUGAGAGAACUCGGGUGAAGGAACUAGGCAAAAUGGUGCCGUAACUUCGGGAGAAGGCACGCUGAUAUGUAGGUGAAGCGACUUGCUCGUGGAGCUGAAAUCAGUCGAAGAUACCAGCUGGCUGCAACUGUUUAUUAAAAACACAGCACUGUGCAAACACGAAAGUGGACGUAUACGGUGUGACGCCUGCCCGGUGCCGGAAGGUUAAUUGAUGGGGUUAGCGGCAACGCGAAGCUCUUGAUCGAAGCCCCGGUAAACGGCGGCCGUAACUAUAACGGUCCUAAGGUAGCGAAAUUCCUUGUCGGGUAAGUUCCGACCUGCACGAAUGGCGUAAUGAUGGCCAGGCUGUCUCCACCCGAGACUCAGUGAAAUUGAACUCGCUGUGAAGAUGCAGUGUACCCGCGGCAAGACGGAAAGACCCCGUGAACCUUUACUAUAGCUUGACACUGAACAUUGAGCCUUGAUGUGUAGGAUAGGUGGGAGGCUUUGAAGUGUGGACGCCAGUCUGCAUGGAGCCGACCUUGAAAUACCACCCUUUAAUGUUUGAUGUUCUAACGUUGGCCCGUAAUCCGGGUUGCGGACAGUGUCUGGUGGGUAGUUUGACUGGGGCGGUCUCCUCCUAAAGAGUAACGGAGGAGCACGAAGGUUGGCUAAUCCUGGUCGGACAUCAGGAGGUUAGUGCAAUGGCAUAAGCCAGCUUGACUGCGAGCGUGACGGCGCGAGCAGGUGCGAAAGCAGGUCAUAGUGAUCCGGUGGUUCUGAAUGGAAGGGCCAUCGCUCAACGGAUAAAAGGUACUCCGGGGAUAACAGGCUGAUACCGCCCAAGAGUUCAUAUCGACGGCGGUGUUUGGCACCUCGAUGUCGGCUCAUCACAUCCUGGGGCUGAAGUAGGUCCCAAGGGUAUGGCUGUUCGCCAUUUAAAGUGGUACGCGAGCUGGGUUUAGAACGUCGUGAGACAGUUCGGUCCCUAUCUGCCGUGGGCGCUGGAGAACUGAGGGGGGCUGCUCCUAGUACGAGAGGACCGGAGUGGACGCAUCACUGGUGUUCGGGUUGUCAUGCCAAUGGCACUGCCCGGUAGCUAAAUGCGGAAGAGAUAAGUGCUGAAAGCAUCUAAGCACGAAACUUGCCCCGAGAUGAG